UACAGAGGGUGCAAGCGUUGUUCGGAAUUAUUGGGCGUAAAGGGCGCGUAGGCGGCGUGUUAAGUCACUUGUGAAAUCUCUGAGCUUAACUCAGAACGGUCAAGUGAUACUGAUGUGCUAGAGUGCAGAAGGGGCAACCGGAAUUCUUGGUGUAGCGGUGAAAUGCGUAGAUAUCAAGAGGAACACCUGAGGUGAAGACGGGUUGCUGGGCUGACACUGACGCUGAGGCGCGAAAGCUAGGGUAGCAAACGGG
rnacentral:rRNA from 1 species